AGGGUUUGGUACUAUUUGUGUUUUCAGACAUCCACAGAGGGUCUUGGAACGUAUUUCCCCACGGAUGAGCAGGGACUGUGCAAAGGUGGGACACAUGGUCCCAGUUCAGAGUCUGUGAAGUCUUCCUGGAAGUGGUGCCCGGAAAUGAGUUUUAAGGAGCGCAGUGUUUGGAAAGAGGAGCCGAGGGAGAGGACUGUAACUCCCCGCACUUGUGAAGCCGCCCCAGCCCUGGUUCCACAGGCUGCUGACUUCUGAUGAGAGAGCUGUACUCUCGUAACAGACACCGCCGUCCCCGCAGACACACUACCGUGGUUUCCAAGUGGGAAACGAAGGGCAUGUGGAGUGGAAACUUUCCUGAGUUCACUCCUCUGCUGAGGGGCCCUUCCUUUGCAGCAACUUGAGUCUUCAUGUACCAGAGAGCUUUCUCCUGUCUCUUUACAACCUCCAUCUCCUCCCAAGGGCCCCCAAAGGAAGCAGCCUGUGCCGCGUCCAUGGAACUUUUCCUGCAGCAGAGAGAACGAAAACUGGGAUGCUUCAUACUCCGAAGGAACCAGAGCUGGUCUGGAAUCAGCAGGUCCCGAACUGGAAGGCUUAGGCCAUCUCAGAGUCUUUCACCGG